rnacentral:lncRNA from 1 species
CUCCAGAGCCGCGCAGAGGGCGGCACGGCCGGAUUUUCUCCAUCACAAAAUGUCCCUGAGCGGGGCCUUGAGGAAGCUGAGGGCUGGGGGGUGCCGGGCACUGACCCAGCGUGGGCAUCGUGCGUCCCCUGAGGGGCCAGGAGGGCCCGAGGAUGGCCUGUGGUGGCCAAGAUUCUGCUCUUGUUGCCACAAAGUGACUCAGGCACCAGCAAAGGCCCCGGGCAGGGGCUGGGGGGGCCCUGGCCGUGCCGCUCAGCAUUUCCCUCGGAGCCCCGCAGCGCGUUGGGAAGCGGCUGCCGGGCAGCACGGCCACUCGCCAGCCCCCGCGGCUCCGUCUGCCAGCACCUGCCAGGGCUGGGGCAGCCCAGGGUGGUCAGCGGGAGCCCCCGUGGCCCCCACAGCCCCCACACAGAGCAGGGAGGGCUGGGCCUGCCCUGAGCACCCCCCCGGGCUCAGCACCCCAGUCCUGCGGGCAGGAGUUGUCAUGGCAGCCAAUGUGCUGUGGCCAGGGAGGUGAUGCCAGCGCUGGGGGAGCCUUUUGGGGGCUGAGCGCUGUGGCCUGGGACCCUGAGGGGUUUGGGGAGGCCAAGAUGUGGGGGUGUUUCUGCAUGGGGGGGUCACAGCCCCCAGCACCAACCUGCAUCCCAGGCAGUUGCUGGGCCCAGGGCUGCGUUUGCCCUUGAGCCCCCCCUGGCAGAGCUGAGCCCUCCCCUCCAGGCGCCCCUGCGGCUGCUCUGUCUCUUUAAAAGGACUCCAGGCGUGGCUGUGGGACCGUCAUCCCAUCCCAGCCGGACAAGGGACCGGACAGUCCCGCACAGCCCAGGACAGCCGGCGCCAGCAGCGCUGGCACACCGUGACCGCAGCCUCCGCAGCGACGUCUUCGAGGACGAGCAGGAGGAGUUCGUCUGCAACACGCAGCAGCCGGGCUGCAAACCCGUGUGCUACGACGCCGCCUUCCCCAUCUCCCACUACCGCUUCCUCGUCUUCCACGUCGUCGUGCUCUCGGCUCCCGCCGCCCUCUUCGUCAUCUUCGCCGUACACCAGGCGGCCAAGCCGGGGCGCGGGGGGGCCCCCGGCCAGCGCGGCCGCCGCCUCCAGCCCUUCUAUGUGGGCAGCGUGGUGGCCCGCAUCGCGGCCGAGCUGGGCUUCCUGCUGGGGCAGGCGCUGCUCUACGGCUUCAGGGUGCAGCCGCUCUUCGUCUGCCGCCGGCGGCCCUGCCCGCACCGCGUCGACUGCUUCGUCUCCCGCCCCACCGAGAAAACCGUCUUCAUCCACUUCUACUUCGUGGUGGGGCUGGUCUCGGCGCUGCUCAGCCUGGCCGAGCUCGCCCACCUCCUGCGCAAGGGCCCCCCGCCCCGGCCCGGCUGCUGCCACCGGCCGCAGGAGCGGGGACCGGCCCCCGGGCAGCCGGCGGGGGCCGCGGCGGAGCAGUGUCACCCCACUGCCUCCUCGCCGCCGCGGGGGGACCUGACCGUGUAGGCUGCCAUUGCUGGCACGAGCUGUGGCCGUUCUCAGCCCGGUUGGUGCCCAGCGGGCGGCUGCGGGUCUCCCAGCCCUCGCCGUGCCGGGGAAGCAGCUCGGGCCGUGUCCCCGUGCCCCCGGUUCCUGUUGUGGGCAGCGGAUGGGCCUCACCCGGCAGCUGCUGGAAAAAAAAUAUGGACAAAAGGAAAACAAACAGGGCCCAUCCCUGCGCGGCGGCAGGGACACCCCUGACCCCCCCCACUGCCCCCCCAGUGCGGCACGGGGAGGGCCAGGGCUGCCCCCACACCCUGUGCUGGGGAUGGCAUGAAGGCGUCGGGGCUCUGCGGGCCGGGGCUGGCCCCUGGUGCAGGGGGACACAACCGCAGCACCGGGGCUGGGAAGGGCAGAGCUUUGGGGGUGCGGGGGGGGCCCAAAGGGUUCUCCCCAGCUCAGCCUUUGGGGACAGCCAGACCCUGCAGCAAAGGCCCCCAGGACUCAGGGUGCUGCAGCCCUGACC